rnacentral:rRNA from 1 species
GACGGACGCUGGCGGCGUGCCUAAUACAUGCAAGUAGAACGCUGAAGGAGGAGCUUGCUUCUCUGGAUGAGUUGCGAACGGGUGAGUAACGCGUAGGUAACCUGCCUGGUAGCGGGGGAUAACUAUUGGAAACGAUAGCUAAUACCGCAUAAUAUUGACUAUUGCAUGAUAGUCAGUUGAAAGGUGCAACUGCACCACUACCAGAUGGACCUGCGUUGUAUUAGCUAGUUGGUGGGGUAACGGCUCACCAAGGCGACGAUACAUAGCCGACCUGAGAGGGUGAUCGGCCACACUGGGACUGAGACACGGCCCAGACUCCUACGGGAGGCAGCAGUAGGGAAUCUUCGGCAAUGGACGGAAGUCUGACCGAGCAACGCCGCGUGAGUGAAGAAGGUUUUCGGAUCGUAAAGCUCUGUUGUAAGAGAAGAACGAGUGUGAGAGUUGAAAGCUCACACUGUGACGGUAUCUUACCAGAAAGGGACGGCUAACUACGUG